UCUAGUCUCUCAGAUCAGAGGGUUCCCCUUGACUAAGGAAUGCAGAGAAGACUGUAGGUGUUUCCGCCUCGCCUUCAUAACUGAUUAGACAUGACCGUAGACGCGAGUGACUCACAGCAGCUCAGCGCAGGUGUGGUUGCUGUGUUUUAUGACCUGCUGCUGUUGUGGAAACUUUCAUGAAAAAAAUGGCCAGGGCAACCUGAGUGAAACAAAAACGCACACACAAGUCCAGAAACCGCCUACGCUCUGCCUGCCUCUCUGUUUCUAUACGGUUACCAGGCCCUGCCCUGCCCCUAGGGUGUGUAAACAGGUGUGUGUGCGCAUACAUUAGGGAACGGAAAAGGAUUACAGUUUGAUGGACGCUUGUUUCCUCGCCAGUGACGCCUUCACCUCUGAAACCCUAUAUGGUUUUCUCUCGGUACAUUUCCCAGGCACCGAUCGGAGCGUGUUAGGAGUGAACCAGGGAUCCUUGAGUGGGUUGUAGGAAUUCCCGAGCAGAAGGAGGAUUUUUUUGGAAGUUGGAACAACAAGGGAAGAAAUGGGUUUUUUCUGAUUGAUUGUAAUUUAUAGUGAUCCCAGUUUGAAAACAUAAGACUAUAUUCUCUCAGUUUGGGGUCCAUGGUCUAAUGUGUAUGUAUUGUGGGGAUUCCUUGGCAUGAAAAUGUUUGAAAACCCCUGGCUUGACUUACAGUUUUUACUUGGCCUGUCACAAUAAUUACAUUAUCGACUUAUCGUAUGAUAGAGAAUCCAUUUUAUUUACAGUUUUGGUUGUGUGGUUUUAUUUGUUUUAUUUAUUUAGGAUAUGUUAAUAUUUUUAUAUAUAUUCCAAUUCCAUUUUCUGAAUAUUCUCAAGAAAUAAAAAUGAAUUGCUCUUUGAAAGGGUGUACUUGAAUUAUAAUGGUAAUCAUUAUAUCAGUGGUAUAAAAUGGUCUUAAAAUGACAAUAAUAUCACUUAUUACAAUUAUUUCUGGGACAUUUAUAUAAUCCAACAAAAAUAGUUAUCGUAACCCUUGUUACCCUAUUCAAGGUUAUUAAAUAUUUUUUCCACACUGCCUGACAGUAUCACAUAUACUGAAGCUUGUUCCAGCUGGGAAGAAUAUUCAAACCCAAGACAAUAUUGUGCUUCAUUUUAUACACAUUACCCCAAAAUGCAGCUUUAAUAUACUUGGUAUCUUUAAAGCCUUUGGGAUCUAGUUCUAUAAGAAAUACAUUGAAUCUGCUGCACAAAAUGAUGUGUAUGUUUUCAAAAUUUAAGAGCUUAGAAUAAAGACAGGAAACGGGGACACAGCUAGCCUGGCUCUGUGAAAACUUGAAGUCACUGCUGCUGGCCAAGAAAAUGUCUGGCACAUAACCCCACCCCCCGUAAAACCACAAAUUGUUGCUGUUACGCCAAAGUUUUUAUAUGGAUUAAACAAACAAGAUACAACGUGUUAAUUAAUAUGCUUUUGAGGUGCUGGAAGGCAUAUAUUUAUGAUUUGUCUAGUUGUUAACCCUUGAUUAGUGUUAAUGCUAAGCUAAGCUAAUUAUCCUCUAACUCUUGGGAAGAAAAGAAAUAAGCGCGUUUUUCAAAAUGUCUGACUGUGCCUUUAAAUUAAGUAAUCUUUGAUUGUGACUUUUAUAAUAAAGGCUGUUCAGUGUCACAA